CCUACGGGGUGCAGCAGUGGGGAAUAUUGGGCAAUGGGCGCAAGCCUGACCCAGCAACGCCGCGUGAAGGAAGAAGGCUCUCGGGUUGUAAACUUCUUUUAUCAGGGACGAAGCAAGUGACGGUACCUGAUGAAUAAGCCACGGCUAACUACGUGCCAGCAGCCGCGGUAAUACGUAGGUUGCAAGCGUUCUCCGGAUUUACUGGGUGUAAAGGGCGUGUAGGCGGAAUGCCAAGUCAGCGGUAAAAUCGCGGGGCUCAACCUCGCUCCGCCGUUGAAACUGGCGCUCUUGAGUGGGCGGGAAGUAUGCGGAAUGCGUGGUGUAGCGGUGAAAUGCAUAGAUAUCACGCAGAACUCCGAUUGCGAAGGCAGCAUACCGGCGCCCAACUGACGCUGAAGCACGAAAGCGUGGGUUGCGAACAGGAUUAGAUACCCUAGUAGUC
rnacentral:rRNA from 1 species